UACGUAGGCAGCGAGCGUUGUUCGGAGUUACUGGGCGUAAAGGGUGUGUAGGCGGUUGUUUAAGUUUGGUGUGAAAUCUCCCGGCUCAACUGGGAGGGUGCGCCGAAUACUGAAUGACUAGAGUGCGGGAGAGGAAAGUGGAAUUCCUGGUGUAGCGGUGAAAUGCGCAGAUAUCAGGAAGAACACCCGUGGCGAAAGCGGCUCUCUGGAACGGUACUGACGCUGAGACGCGAAAGCGUGGGGAGCGAACAGG
rnacentral:rRNA from 1 species